rnacentral:lncRNA from 1 species
ACAGAAACCUUGAAUAUUCAUCAAUGAAGCUAAUGUAAUACCUAUAUCCUUCAAUUGACAGUUUUGGAGAAGGUCCCCAUACAUCUAAAUGUACUCUUUCAAACAUAAGACUUGCACUACUAUGUUUUACAGGAAAUGAUUGCCUACACAUUUUGCUUGAAAUACAUGAUGAACAUACUGACUCUGAAGAAUCUAUGGUAACUGGUACUUUAGCUGACUUUAACAUAGCUUUUAGUAUCUCUUCAGAGGGAUGACCCAAUCUCUUGUGCCAAAUUGCAGUCUUUACCAUUUUUCCCAGAAAACCAGCUCUUAACUCCUUUGCUACUCCAUCCCUUGAAUUUGAUCUUGAAAACAAUGUCACAGGUAUGGUAAAGAGCUCCCCAUCACUCUUUCCUUGGUAGAUAAUCACAUUGGUUACCUUGUCCUGUAUGAAAAACACACAAUCAUCACAAAUAAACCAACAUCCAUUAUCAUGGCACAAUUUCUUCACUGAUAAAAGAUUGACAGUAAUAUUGGGAACAUGUUAAACAUUUUUCAAGUAUAAGAAAGUUGCUGGAGUAAGUAAUGUGGUUGAACCAAUAUGCUUCACAUCCAAAACUUGACCAUUCCCUAUGAUUAUCUUUUCUUCUCCAUUAUAAGCUGAGACUUGAUUAAGAGUAUUGACAUUGGCUGUCAUGUGAUAUGUGGCACCAGUGUCCAACACCCAUGUAUCAGCAGCCAAAAACCCAUGUGGUUGUGAGUCAUUUCUUUGUUGAGAAAGAUCAUGUGAACCUUGAGCAGACAUAGCAGUGAUUGUUGAUGGUGGUAGUGCUCCCUGAUAAGCAUAGUUAUUCCUAUGAUAGCAGUCCAAAGCAAUAUGGCCUUUCUUUUCACAUAUCUGACACGCCAAGAGCUGAUAUUGACUGACAUUUGAACCAUUAGUACUUCUAAAAUGACAAUUGGGAGCAGUAUGUCCUAUUCGAGAGCAAAUCUAGCAUUCAUGUGUGAUAGAAGAUCUGUAGUUUGUAUUACCAUUCCAACUCUGCCAAGUAGACCCACUUUUAGAACCACCAUUUGAAGACUGUCCAUUAAAACCAGAUUGUGAUCCCUUGCCUUAAUCAACAGAAAAACCACUAUUGCCCUUGUAUUUGUUAUCGAAGUAUGGUUUAGGAUUCCUAUUUGAGUUGAAUGUCCCACUAUUAUUUUGAGAAUUGAAGGGUCUUUGAUUGUUCCCAAUGAAUCCAUAGCCUCCCUGAUAGUUGUUUGUUGCACCCAUAACAGAGCUUUCACCCUGAUAAGUGCCAUUUCCUUGAUAUGUACCAGUGCCAAACCCUCAUUGAUAGCUAUUUGAUCCCAUGUUAGAACUUUCACCCUGAUACAUUCCAUUGAAGCCAUUGGAUCUGUUACCAUUCACAUACAUUGCAGACAUUGUACUUGUGAGAGAUAUAAUCCUGGACUCAAUAGUUAACUCGGCACUAAGUAGUUGAGCCCUGAAAUCCUUUAAAGACAUAGGACUUUCCCUUGCCAAUAUCACUGUCUUAAUCAUAUCAAACUCUUGUGGCAAACCAGAUAGUGUAGCAAUAAUAAGAUCAUUUUCUAACACCCUUUCACCUGCAGAGAUUAACUGAUCUCUUAUAGCCUUCAAUCUCAGUAAAAACUUGUCAACAGAAUCACCUCAUUUUUUAGCAGUAUGAAAUUCAGUUUUUAACUAAUUCAUUCGUGACAUUGAGACAGUAGCAAAUCAAUCUUGCAAUGCACUCCAUGCUUCCCGUGAUGUUUUACACCCAAUCACAUGCUCCAUGGCAUCUUCAGAUAACGUAGCAAUUAACAAACUAAGUAAAGCCAUAUACUUUUUCACCCAAUUCUUGUAUGCAGUUGUG